AUUUGAUCCUUGUUGAUUCUGUGAGUAACAAACAAGACUGAGCACCAAUACCCACAUUUCAAAGGGGAGGAAAAUGUCUUAGAGUGGUGAAAUGAUUUCCCCAAGGUCAUGCUGAGUAGAAGGGACAGACAAGACAGUGAGUACAAGGAACGCCAAUGUAAAGUUGUUCUACAAAAGGAUUACUUUGUUUGGGCUAUUCUGGGCCCCUUGCAUUUCCUUAUGAAAUUUAAAAUUCACCUGUCAAUUUCUGCCCCGCUCUCCCUGCCCAAAAAAGGAAGAAAGGAAGGAAAGAAGGAAAGGAAAUAAAAGCCUACGCACAGCAUGUGAGGUCACAGUUAAAGGGAUUGUAUAUACAAGACAUAUGAUCAUGGGAAGAAUCAUUUUAUAAAGGAAACGCUUCAUGCUGCAAACUUUGACUACACAUGUUCACUCCAUUUGAUUCAUAAACAUUUAAUGAAAAACUACUAAAUAAAAAGGACAUUUGUUUGAUGUCAGGAACAGUUAUUCUACGACAUACAGACAGAUAUAGAAGGAGAAAACAAGAGUUAAAUAAAUAAAGGAAGAGGAUCAUGAAAAGGAACACAGUUCAAUUUAUCUCCAGGACAGUAUCAGAUCUGCUGGGGAAAAGCACUGAGGAUGUUUGAUGAAGCCUUUCAUACAUACCAGCUAUUACUGCAAAAUACCUUGGACCUGAUAUUAAGGAGUGGUGGUGUGAAUAAGGCAAUAAGCCCUUCAUCAUCUUGUCUAGGGUCCUACUAAUGAUGUGACUAGUGCAGAAACUUGGUAUAAAGUGUGACCUCAAGGAUCUGAAUGAUCCCAACGACACCAGUACAGAGUCUUAGCACUUGAUCCUGUGUUUCCAUUUUCACAA